CCUCUUGAAUAAUAUUCAUUUUCUUUUCUUUAUCUCUCUCUCUUUUUGUUAUUCUCAAGUAAUUUACAUGAAAGAGCAGAAUGAGGAAUUAAUCUUGUGUAUCAUACAAACAACAUUUUCAUUAUGUUCAUGGAUUCAUAAUUUCACACAAGUUAUUUUAGAUCAAAAUUUUAAGCAUAAACUUGUGUAUUUCAUGGUUAUGACAUAUGCAAAGAUAUAUUCUAGUUUGGGCAAACCAUGAAACAAUCUCUAAAAGUAUAAGUCAAUCAAUUAUAGACAUGAUAUCAAAAAUUAAUAAUUAAAGGCCUCAAUCAUGCCAUAAUAAGAUUUAAGUUAUUGACUUUGCUCAAUUAAUUUAUGAGAGAAGUAUCUAGAAUUACCAUUUCAUUCUGCAUUCUUCAGUCAAAUACCUACUAGAUUUCUUAUGUAUGAACUUUUGGCUGAGGAAGGUCCUCUCUCUUGUUUGCAUGUGAAUGUUUAUUGUACCUUAUAUGGAGAUAUCCUUCAAGUUGAGAUCUCUCAUUUUUCUUGCUC
rnacentral:lncRNA from 1 species